rnacentral:rRNA from 1 species
UACGAAGGGGGCUAGCGUUGUUCGGAUUUACUGGGCGUAAAGCGCACGUAGGCGGAUCGUUAAGUCGGGGGUGAAAUCCUGGAGCUCAACUCCAGAACUGCCUUCGAUACUGGCGAUCUUGAGUCCGGAAGAGGUGAGUGGAACUCCUAGUGUAGAGGUGGAAUUCGUAGAUAUUAGGAAGAACACCAGUGGCGAAAGGCGGCUCACUUGGUCCGGGUACUGACGCUGAGGUGCGAAAAGCGUGGGGAGCAAACAGG